CCAAGCAAGAACACAGAGAAAAGGGGUAGUACCCGGAAGGGUGAUUACCGUGAAGAGAGUUUUAAGAUGGCAGGAAUUACUGUUUGUCAGGUAGUGGGAGCAGUUCAGUAGGGAGAGAAAAUCUGAUGAUGCAAGAGUGAGAGGGAAGGAUUACUGGAAUAAUGUCCCUGAGAGGGCAAGAAGGGAAUCCCGUCUAUAAGUGGAGGGAUUGGCCAUAGCUGUAGGGACUGUUCCUUCUUAGAAGUAAGAGGGAAGCCAGCAUAUUGGGACACAGAUGAAAUUAGUUCAGUAGAUUUGAUAGGAGAUUGCGGAAGCUUUUUCUUGAUUGGUUUUCAUUCACCAGUGAAAUGGAAAGCAAGGCAUUAGCUAAGAUUGAAGAGGGAAAUGGGAUCCGAAGUGAGGAGAAAGGGGUGAGACACUCAUCUGGAAGAGUGGGAAAGUGAAUGCACAGGG
rnacentral:lncRNA from 1 species